UACGUAGGCAGCAAGCGUUGUUCGGAGUUACUGGGCGUAAAGAGUGCGUAGGCGGUCCUGUAAGUUUGGUGUGAAAUCUCCCGGCUCAACUGGGAGGGUGCGCCGAAGACUGCAGGGCUUGAGUAUGGGAGAGGUAAGCGGAAUUCCUGGUGUAGCGGUGAAAUGCGUAGAUAUCAGGAGGAACACCUGUGGUGUAGACAGCUUACUGGACCAUAACUGACGCUGAGGUACGAAAGCGUGGGUAGCAAACAGG
rnacentral:rRNA from 1 species